rnacentral:rRNA from 1 species
UACGUAGGGGGCAAGCGUUGUCCGGAUUUAUUGGGCGUAAAGAGCUCGUAGGCGGUGUGUCGCGUCGGCCGUGAAAACCUGCAGCUUAACUGUGGGCUUGCGGUCGAUACGGGCAUCACUGGAGUUCGGCAGGGGAGACUGGAAUUCCUGGUGUAGCGGUGAAAUGCGCAGAUAUCAGGAGGAACACCGGUGGCGAAGGCGGGUCUCUGGGCCGAUACCGACGCUGAGGAGCGAAAGCGUGGGGAGCGAACAGG